rnacentral:lncRNA from 1 species
GCUGUCAGACGUUUAAGAGGCUGGUGCAUGCAAGAGCAAGUCAAACUGGGGGGAGACAGUCAAACUGUCUUCUGGUACAGUUUGAACAUGAAUGUCAUGGAAGAGGAAAUACUGCCCAUGCUUUUCCUAUUUGUCUAAUUUGAGUGAUUUGUCUCAUUUUCUUCAAUCUGGGACAGGAAAACCACUAGAUGCUGAAAGUAUGUUUCCUCAGAGUCCGGGAUUAUCAGCACAAGGUGAAAAUAGUCCAAAAGGUGACACAGAGCCUGGAUCUCCAAGAGCUGCGCAUCCAAGCUUGGAUGAGGGCAAAGGAAGAGAAAGCCCAAAGGAAACAGAUUCAUCCAAGGAAGGGAAAAUUUCUAGCAGUUAAAGCACAGGAGAUGGGGCUGCCAGUGGGAACUCCAGCCAUUCUGCCCAUAAUUACAGCUCUUAAAAAUGGGGAGAGCAUCACUUUCGAAGGCAGGGAGGUAAGACGAAUGUGUGUUUUCUGCUAUGGUAUAGUGUCGUCCUGGGAGUCCAGUGAAGGCGGGAGGAUGGCACAGCAUACCGCAGAAAAAGACUGGUUACAAGAGGGCAUUGGGACAAUUCCAGCUGUGGGUGGGUUUUGUUUGUCUGUUUUUUAAUCCUUGUUCUUAAGGCAAGGAUGGGUGAUGGUUUUCUGCUUAUUCCCUCUCAUCUCUGCUAAUGUGUUUGUUCUUCUGCUGUUUCUGAGCUUUGAGUGGCUACUUCUGGUGACUGGCCCUUGUUUUCAGCCCCAAGCUGUUGCUGGAAGUGGCUCCUGUGACACUGGUGCUGUUGCAGGGGUGUGAUUAGAGAAGUAGCUCUGACACAAGUUCAUUUGUGGCUAUGGAUGUAUGCCUGCAGUUUGUUAGGGCUUCUGAGCCUCUCCAUCACAAGUCCUCAGAGCCGACUCCUUGAAUGAAUGGAGUUGAUCCCUGUGUGUUUUAAAUUUGGUGUUUGAGUGCUUGUAUAGCUGUUGUUGCCUCCUUACUCUUUUUUCAGCUCUUAGACCACAGAUUUUAAGUGGUUCCUGUGUGCAGGGUCUUACUCAGAUGUUAGUUUGAAGUGAGAGGCAGAGUUUGCCCUGUCCAUGUCAUGGGUGAUCCGUAAGUGAAGAUCCUAACCUAGGGGAUAGGACUGACAUAUCUUUGUCAUUAGAAUUUUGCAGAGCCUCUUUUCUUUUUGAUACUCCUUAUUACUGGCUCCCAUGACAUCCUGCUAGCAAAGCUGAGAAAGUGUGGGAUAGAGGAGUGGACAGUAAGGUGGGUUGAGAACUGUCUGACUGGCCGAGCUCAGAGGGUGGUGAUCAGCAGUGCAGAGUCUGGCUGGAGACCUGUGACUAGCGGCGUUCCCCAGGGGUUGGUGCUGGGUCCGGUCUUGUUCAACAUCUUCAUCGACGACCUUGAUGAGGGAAUAGUGUCUGCCCUCAGCAAGUACACCGAUGACACAAAGCUGGGAGGAGCGGCUGACACGCCAGAAGGCUGUGCUGCCAUUCAGCGAGACCUGGACAGGCUGGAGAGAUGGGAAGGAAGAAACCAAAUGAGGUUUAACAAGAGCAAGUGUAGAGUCCUGCACCUGGGAAGGAACAACCGCAUGUACCAGUACAGGCUGGGGGAUGACCUG